rnacentral:lncRNA from 1 species
GCCAUUCAGAUCCUUACUGUAUAUGUUGGCUACAGUAGGUUCAGAUUUACUCUUUGAAGUAGGAUGCACCUAGAAAGAAUCUAUCAACUUUGGUCGAAAAGAAGAAGUCCUAUGCGAUUCGCGAGACUGAGUUCAGAAAAUCUUUGAUCAAAGCAAGUAUGAAUAUCAAAAAAGAGUUUUCACAGGAUUCACAUAUGAACUCGAGUCGAGCCAAUCAUGCAUAUGACUGACAAUGGGGUCUGACGAGUUCUCCAUGACCUCCGUCAAGUUGAAACUUAUGA